ensembl:lincRNA
CAAAAACAGCAAAUGGAGUAACUUCUGUUGAAAAAUUCUCCUUCUUGAAUAUCUUUUUCCUUCCUUUCUCAGGUAAAAAUGGUGGUACCUUUGGAAAUCCAACAGCAGCUUCAAGAGUCAACUACACCGGCAAUCCCUAAAGUUGGAGAAUUUAUGCCCAUGGAAAAGUCUGUAGCGUUUCUCAAACCGUGAGGCUGAGGAAUAGAGUUAGUUCCUGCAGCAGAACAAAAUGGUAGCCCCUUUUCUUUCCACGAAAAGAGUUUCUACGGAGACAGCAGGUUUCCUAUUGGAUUGUUGUCAGACCAAAACAACAUUGACCGAAUCUGCCUCUGGCCCUGUGAAAGGCCAGCCAAACAGCAAGAGGCCAGCACAAGACAUAGCUUCCUCUUCUAGAGCUGAGACUUCACACUUGAUUGUACUGUGGGGCUCAUGGAACAACAUCGAACUCCCAGUGGUCAAAGAUGGAGGAGGAUCAAUGGCCUGUUUUCCUCCCUUUUUUUUUUUUUCUUAAAAAACACAAAGAAGCAAAGUGAGAACAUUAAGCCAGAAAGAGAACUGUGUUCUUUGCAGAACUUUUUGAGGUCUGCUUAAGCCAUUUAUAUAAAGAAAUUACACGGUUCCUCUUUGGUAACCUUGAUCCUGAGAGUAAGUGUGACAGGCAUACAGCUUUUUGUUCUCUUCAUCACUCCGGAAGUUGCUGACUGUGCUCAGCAAGACCUCACAACAUGGAGGAAAAUUAAAGAGAUAAACGGUCCAUGGUGUAUCCCCUUACCCCACCCUGAAUUGACAUCAUUUUGUGCGCAAUCCAGGGAGAAGAAAAAGAAGAUCAGGAGCUUGCAUACCAUCUGAGAGAAGGAAGGGAGCUUUGACAUGUUGCCAUCUGAGGAAUAUAUACUUGGGAUGGGACAGGGAAGCGGAGUAGGAAUGAACAAGAGAACUUAGUCAACAAAUAUAUAAAUCUAUUAAGGUAUUUCAAGAAAGAGAGACAAAAUUCAGCAUGGCUCACCAAAAAGAAAGCAACUGGAUACAUUUGACCAGGUUUGUGUUCCAUAAUUUGUAUUUUAUUGCCCUCUACCCUACACACACACACACACACACACACACACACACACACACUCUGCAGCCUAUAAUCCCCCCCCACCGCCACCCCAUGCCCCUAUCCUGUUGAUCUUUCCUCACUUAAAAAUUAUCGGAAAAGAAUUUAUUCAUUUGGGAGGAUUCCAGGCACUACAUUUAUGUCGAGUUCAGAUGAAAUGGGAUCCAGACUUUUCAAACCGUGCUGUUUCACAGAUAAAACACAAAGGCAGAACUUCAUUAUCUGGAGACACUGCCCUUUCUUUUCUCUCCUUCCUUUUGUUUCUGGGCAAUUUUAAGCUUGUUUGGAAAGUAUGAUAACAGGGGCAGAACGUUUUCUUUUUUUUUACCACAUCUAUUUCAGAAGGGUUUUAAUAAUAAUAAAUUUAUUGCUAAACAGAUGGAAGAGUUUUAGUAAAGCUAGAAAAGACAUUUUUACUAAUACACCCUAUAGGCUGAUCUCAAUUCUCUCAUUGUUAAGAACGCUUGGUCUAAGAGAGUCUUAUUCAUGUGCCAAAUGGCUUUAUUAAAUCAUUAUAUUAACACAGAAAAAGUCCUAUUACAAUGACUGUCUCUGUAUGAUCAAAACUUGUCCAUGAUCCUGCUGAUAGCCUAUUUAUUCUGAAAUUUAAAAAGGUAGCAUUCCAGUACAGCCCAAUUUUUGGCCAGGUUUUACAAAAUUCAUUAUAAUAUGGCUGGAAGGGUUACUAUGUCCUAACAAGGAAAGGCCUAAGUUUUAUCAGGGCAGCAGUCCCCAGACAAAAAGAAAACUGUGAAAAAGAGACCUCUCAUCGACUCAUAGAAAUUAAUCCCUGGCAACAUUGUAAGGUUUUCACCUGUAGAAAUACAACGGGUCUGUGAUUUCUACUUUGAUUAAUUAAAAAAAAAAAAAAAAGACUAGGGUAAUCUCAGUGCUUUAUUAGGCUGAGGCAGGAGGAUCACUCGAGGCCACAAGUUUGAGACUAGCCUGGGCAAGACAGCAAGACACUGUCAAUACAAAAAAAAAAUUAAAACCUUAGCUAGACAUGGUGGCUUAUGCCUGUAAUUUCACCUACUCAGGAGGCUGAGGUGGGAGGAUUGGUUGAGCCUGGGAGUGUGAGGCCACAGUGAGCUAUGAUCAUGCCACUGCACUCCAGCCUCCCCACUUCCCCACCAAAAAGAAUCCCAAUUGGCAAAUUCAAAGGCAGAUUAGCUGCACUGGUGAAUCCAGGACUGUGGCAUGUGAAAAGAGUUUAAAAAGCCAGAAGAAGCAAAGUUUGGUGUGUUUGUAUACUGGAUUUUUAAACUGAAUUAAACACACACAUACACACACACACACAGUUUUUGAAUGUAAAAUGAAUAUGUGUUGAUUAUAGAGGAAAAAAAUCACUCCUAAGCCUACCACUGAGAAAGUAUAUUUGUUUUGACCACCCAAGAUUGAUUUCUGCCUUCAUGUGGAAGUAAGCUUUAAAAGCCCCAUGUUAGGGAAUAGUCUAAAAAUAUGGGGCCCCAUGGGUAUCAGGAAAACCUACAAAGAGAAGAGAUGGAACCGGGAGGGUUCAAGUACUGUUUUAGAGAAUUGAGGCAGUAGGUCAGCCAGGUAGGGCCAGGUCCGCAGGAGGGUCCGGAUGAAGUGUGAGACGCAGGGGGACAGUGCGUGCAUGGAGACCUUGGGUAGCACCAACCUUAAUGGCAGAGGUGGGGUGGACGUGGCUGAUGUCGGGGAGAGAAAGGGGAGCACCCACAGGGCUCAGUCCUAUAGAUACACUGAAAAUCCUUUAGCCUUUCUAAGACUAUUAACCCAAAUCACUUUUCUUGCUUACUCCAGCUGCCUCAGCCUCUGAUAUAAUUGCUAAGCAUCUGCCGUGUUAAAAAGAAACAUUUGAGAAUUGAGGGUGAUUUUUCUCUUUUCUUGUGAAUUGUAAUUGCAAUGUACUCAUGGCCUGCCAUGACGUGAGGUCUGGCUUAGAUUAGCCCCCGGCUGAGAGACCCAUGCUAAUUUAGUGCCUGCAAUUACGCCUGCCUCUAAAAGUGUUCUGCUCUUUGUAGGACGUGCCCUUUGAGUUUCUUUGCAAUAGAAGCAACGGUUAUGCUGGGUCAUCUAUACCUUCUUGCCCCACGCCCCUUGUAACACACGUUGGUGAGACAACUGGCCAGGAUUAGAGGUAUGAUCUGUGACCCUGAAACAGAGUGAAAUUGGCAAUGCGGAGGCUGAUCCUAUGAAAAUUAUAAGCACUGUAAGUACUCUAAUAUCUGACCCCUGACUGCCAUGGAUGUGCACCUGCCUCCCAGCUAUAAAGAUUCUUCCAGUAAAAUAAUCAAAAACGAAAACAUGCAGACAAACUUCUGUGCAUCAGUGCAUUUGGCUUCAGAGGAGACGUGUACGUGUCAAUUAAGAAUUGAGAAUAAUCAGCCUUUGCUUUCUGUGUGCAGAGGCUGGCAAAGGGGAAACAAGCUGCCUAGUUUAGUGCUGGCAAAACAAACCACUGUGUAGUUAUAAGCAAGAGUAGGUGGCUGAGUCGAAAGAUGGGUGGAUGGGUGAGUGGGUGGGGUCCCCUUCCUGAUGUAUAAAAACAGAACUCCUAGGUUUGGGGUUAAUAUUACAAUUGGACUCCAGGAAAACACACACUGUACAUUCAAAAUAAUUCUAAACCAGUUUUAAAAUAUAAAUUAAAAAGUAUUUUCCCU